AUAUAUAUAGAAAUUUUCUCUUAUUAUUAUUAUUGCUAUUAUUUUUAUUUAUUUAAUAUUUAAAAUGUCAUUAUUGUUCUUACUGUGACUCCAAUCAUGUGAAAGCUAACUUAGCUAUCCAUUCCCAUGAUUAAUUUUAAAAGUUUUUAAAUCAUGGUUAAAAUUAUUGCUCUGAUACCACUUAAUGUCACGCCCCGAAAUCGGAUCAUGACACGGCCGUGCUAUUGCGAACCCUUGCCCGCAAUAACACGCAGCCACUUUAAAAACUUUAAAUCAAUUAUGAACAAUUUCUUUCUUGAAUGUUAACAAAUGUUUCAUCAAUAAAAGAUUGAUUACAAAGCAUCUAAAAUAGAAACAUUUAAUGCGUCAUUUUCUUUUCCCCAUAACCCUGAAACAUGUCACGCUCCUCGUUCCUAGCAUCUCCUAUUCAUCUGUAAGAACAUAAAUAAAUGGGUAUGAGCUAUAAAGCUCAGUAAGUAACCAUGCAUAAUCUUAUCUGAUCAAUCAUAAUAUUUUCUCAUACUAGUG
rnacentral:lncRNA from 1 species